AAGGGUGUAGCUCAAUGGUAGAGCGCUCGCCUUAGUGCGAGAGGCUUGGGGUUCGAUUCCCUGCACCUUUA